UUCCAGACCAAAAAUAUAUUAAAAAGGGGAACAUCUGAAUUCUCCUGGCUGGACCAAGAGAAAUUCCUUGUGGUUUCAAUGGUUAGACUUCAGCUAUGUGCUGGAACAAGGCCCAGUUUGAGGAGAGAUGGAGGGAUGCACAAAUGGCACCGAGACCUUCGGGAGCCUCUCAUAAAGGCUGUCUGGGUCUCCUUCAAAAUAUGCAUGCCUCAGCUCAAGGAUAUACCACGCACAGCCAUGCUGGCCCUUGUGCUAUGCAUCCUCUGACGGAUGCUGCUUGCUAUCAUGAGAUUUACCCAUUGAUGAUGACACUUUGGCAACCACUGAGUUUCUGUUUUAUUUUUGUUUACUGUGUAAUAAAUGCACAUCUAUUUAUUUCUGCUGUUAGAACCUUGCAUUGGUUUACAGCAAGUUUCUGAGGUUCUUUGGAAAAAUAGAGGGCAAAGUGCAAUUAAUUCUGGCUUUGUUUAAAAGAAUAACCCACAACCCAAAAGACAGAUUAUUUAUUUAUUUCCUUGUGUUCUUAGAAGAUGCUAACGGACACGUGGUCUUCUCUGCAGUAUCAUCCCAGGAAGAGCACAGGAACUCAAGAAACAGGGAAUGAGGCACUUUUGGAUCCAGAGGAAACCCACCAAGAAGAAAGAGUCCUGGAAGGAACUCCUGAAUAAGCCUGCUCUCAUGUUUUCAUUCCUGAAAUACAGAAGGCUUUGAGACAUGUCGUCUUCUUCCUUCACUCCUCAAAGGACUGCGGUAGAGAACAUGAAUUAUGGUGUAACCCGUGGCUGGCAACAGCAUGUCAGAAGUGGGCACCUCCCUGGGGACAGGAGAGAAAUCACAGCCUCACUUCUUCCUGCCCACUGCAGCCAAAGGGCAAUUGGGAUUCACAGUUCUCCAAUGUGUUUUCCUAACAGCUCAUGCUAAGGAAGAAAAGGUUCAGAACAGAAGUAUGCAGAGCAAAGAACACGGUGGGAACAGAAGAGUCACAGAUAUUGUGGCUAAUAUUGCUUUGUGAAAGCAGACAUUGAAACUGCUUGGUUACAUCCUGGGCUUUUGCACACCAAUGGUGAGUAAUGGGAACUGUUCGUGUCUGUAACUGGGCAUAAUAACUGAUACUGAUAUUGCAGGUGAGAUUAUGAGUUUCCCCACUGAAAUUUGCCUCAAUUUGUUAUAUGUAGUGCAGCAACUUCUCUUACCGGAAUGGUGUGUCCAUUGGACACCAAG